GAUGAACGCUAGCGGCAGGCCUAACACAUGCAAGUCGAGGGGUAUAAGGAGCUUGCUCCUUAGAGACCGGCGCACGGGUGCGUAACGCGUAUGCAAUCUACCUUGUACAGAGGGAUAGCCCAGAGAAAUUUGGAUUAAUACCUCAUAGUAUUAUAGAAUGGCAUCAUUUUAUAAUUAAAGUUCCAACGGUACAAGAUGAGCAUGCGUCCCAUUAGUUAGUUGGUGUGGUAACGGCACACCAAGACGAUGAUGGGUAGGGGUCCUGAGAGGGAGAUCCCCCACACUGGUACUGAGACACGGACCAGACUCCUACGGGAGGCAGCAGUGAGGAAUAUUGGUCAAUGGAGGCAACUCUGAACCAGCCAUGCCGCGUGCAGGAAGAAGGUUCUAUGGAUCGUAAACUGCUUUUGUACAGGAAGAAAUUAUCCCUCGUGAGGGAGCUUGACAGUACUGUAAGAAUAAGGAUCGGCUAACUCCGUGCCAGCAGCCGCGGUAAUACGGAGGAUUCAAGCGUUAUCCGGAAUCAUUGGGUUUAAAGGGUUCGUAGGCGGAUUAGUAAGUCAGGGGUGAAAGUUUGCGGCUUAACCGUAAAAUUGCCUUUGAUACUGCUAGUCUUGAAUAUUUGUGAAGUAGCUAGAAUAUGUAGUGUAGCGGUGAAAUGCUUAGAUAUUACAUGGAAUACCGAUUGCGAAGGCAGGUUACUAACAAAUUAUUGACGCUGAUGAACGAAAGCGUGGGGAGCGAACAGGAUUAGAUACCCUGGUAGUCCACGCCGUAAACGAUGGAUGCUAGCUGUUAGAAGUAUCGACCCUUCUAGUAGCGAAGCUAACGCGUUAAGCAUCCCGCCUGUGGAGUACGGCCGCAAGGCUAAAACAUAAAGGAAUUGACGGGGGCCCGCACAAGCGGCGGAGCAUGUUGCUUAAUUCGACGCAACGCGAAGAACCUUACCAAGGCUUGACAUCGCCGGAAAUCCCGCAGAGAUGCGGGGUCCUUUUUGGGCCGGUGACAGGUGGUGCAUGGCUGUCGUCAGCUCGUGUCGUGAGAUGUUGGGUUAAGUCCCGCAACGAGCGCAACCCUCGUUCCAUGUUGCCAGCAACACUUUCGGGUGGUUGGGGACUCAUGGGAGACCGCCGGGGUCAACUCGGAGGAAGGUGGGGAUGACGUCAAGUCAUCAUGCCCCUUAUGUCUUGGGCUGCAAACAUGCUACAAUGGCCGGUACAGUGGGCUGCGAUACCGUGAGGUGGAGCGAAUCCCUUAAAGCCGGUCUCAGUUCGGAUCGAAGUCUGCAACUCGACUUCGUGAAGUCGGAGUCGCUAGUAAUCGCAGAUCAGCAACGCUGCGGUGAAUACGUUCCCCGGGCCUUGUACACACC
rnacentral:rRNA from 1 species